UUAUUGCAACUAACUCAGAAUGCAAGCGAGCAUCAUGUGAUAUGAAUCCAGACCAACAGAACCUCUGGCAUAGUGAAGCAGACAUGCGUCUGUGUACUGUAUAAAGAGGGCAAGUUGACCUUGUGAUGAAAUCAGCCCUGUCCGUUUUUUUCUUCCACCUCAAUAAACAAACUGUUGUACACAGGACAGAAUUCCCCUUGGGGAUGUAAAUCAGUUCUUGUGGUUAGACUGCAUGACCUAGUAAGCUCCUAGUCCACUAGCAAAUUUGUCAUGAAGCCUAUGGCCUAGACUGUAAACAGCUGAACAUUCUGACUCACUCCGGUUCUCCCACAAACACAUAUACAGUUUUAAAAAUAACUUUUAAAAUAAUCUCCCAAACCAGCUAGCUAAAAUUAGAGAAAGCCAAAAAUGGUUAUUUUUGUAAUGCGGGUCCCCCUUUAUGUCAGUGAUUUCUGCUGCAUUCAGUGUUGGGAUCUUAGUCUAUUUUUGUGACUGCUGCAGUCGUCUGCACGGUCACUCAACUGCGAAACUGACUGACACAUUAGGCGUAAUCAAAUAACAGUGACUGAUAUUAGGGUUGCAUGGAUGUAUUGUUACUAAAAGAAAUCACAUUACUAAAGCACUGAUAAUGUCUCUUUAAAUAUUCUAUGUGGGAAAAAAAAUAUAUGGUGUAGUCACGUUAGGGGUGCUAAUGACUGGCUUUGAGAAUACAUAUGGAUAUUCACCUGAGUGUGUGUGCUUGGAUACGGAUCAUUUUUAGGCAGUGGAUGUAACGGAUAUAACAGAAAGUGGAGGAGACGGACUGCACUGGAAAGUGGAGGAAUGUGGGUGCAGUAUGAGGUGGAGGGGACAGGCUACAGAGGAAGGUAGAGGAGACAUGCCGCUGUGGGAGGUGGAGGAGAGUGGGAACACUAUGAGGUGGAGGGGACAGGCUACAGAGGAAGGUAGAGGAGACAUGCCGCUGUGGGAGGUGGAAGGAAACGGGAGUAGUAAAAAUGUGGAGGGGACAAGUUGCAGAGGAAGGUGGAGAAGACAUGCUGCAGUGGAAGGCAGUAGGAAGCGGGAAUUUAUAAACCUAGAGGAGAUAGGCUGCAGUGGGACGUAGAGGGGAAAAAGCAAAGCAACUGUUAUGCAUUUCCACGCUGUCAAUCAGUCAGACAUUUAUCAUAAGCAGCAUACCUCGCUAUCAUUAUCUGUGACAGCAUGCUUCUCUCUUUUUAACAAUUGGGAGUUGGCCAGUCAGACAUAUUAGCUGCGUCCUGAAUCGUGUAAUGUGACAGUAUAUACUGCAUUCGAUGCAGCGCCUACUGCGCGGCCGUUGAAACAGUACGCAAUAAUCAGCAUGUGUGUGUAGUAUGAAUACAAUCCCGGACAUACUACAUCCGCCAUGUUAGUACUGUCAUGUGACCUUCAACGUAAUCAUAAACAAUCCAUUUAAACGGGAGCACCAGAUUAAAGCAUCCGCACUACCGGCAAAAUGCACAUCAGGAAAGUUAACUGAAUUAGUAGUUUAAGGUGGCUGAGGUAAAUUUGUUGCCGUUAGCUUGGCCAGUUAAAGCAUGACGGAGGUCAAAAAAAAAAGGUUUCAAACGCUGUUUUCUUGUUUAAACCUUCAAGAAGUUAACAAUUUAUUUGGGUAUUGUCAAACAAGUCCUGUUUAAUCAAGGUUUAAUAAUUAGAAAGCACCGACGCGCUGUAUUCCACCAUUGGUUUUUCUGAGCUCGUCCGUGCCAGUUCCGUUGCAUUAUGGGAAAUUUUGACUCCCGUAGUGUCCAUCGGUUACGCGCUGCAAAAUCUCGCCGGAAGCAGUACGCCGUCCGGGUAUUUCUCACCUACUGGGAAUUCAGAUAGAAAAGUACUACCCCUCUGGCGUACUGCUUUUCGCCUACUGUGUAGUAGAGUGGUAGGUGAUUUUGGACGCUACCACUAUUCUCAUAGUCACACCGAGGCCGGUUGCGAUAAUCAAUAUAUAGACUUAUCGCACGAUAUAUGGACAUGAGCUCAAUAAUUUUUGGUGACACGAUAUAUUGUGAUUGAUCAUCUUUAUAAUUGAAAAUAAUGGUGAUAUUCAAUUUUUACAUAAAAAUCAACGUCACCACAUUUUAGUCGGUCGCGCUGCAGAGAAGGUGUGAACCCACUGCGUUAUAUAGUGUUUCGUGACAACUACAGCCAAUUAGGAAGAAUAAGUCCCGAUGGACUUGGUUUCAAAGCCGCAUUCUUCUGCUCCGGUGUGGGAACAUUUUGGCUUUAAGCCGAAUGAGAGAGGAGAGCCAAUUAACGUGAACGGGCCGGUAUGUUGACUUAGUUUAAAAACAGUGCCAAUGAAAAGAGGUAACUUAACUAACCUAAAAUCUCACCUAAAAACAACCAUCUCAACCAGUUUUUUAACCUGGGAACAACAACCACAGCUGGAGGUGGAGAGGGAUCUUCCAGACAGUUAUCUGUCACAGAUACCUUUUCCCGGCAGUGCAAAUAUAAACGUGACAGCACGAAAUGGCGCACGCUCACAGAUUGCGCAACUCACUAUAUAUAGCCAAAGAGAUGCAGCCAUUAAACACGGUUGAAAAACCAGCAUUUAAAAAUAACUUCUGACAAACAGCACGAAUUGCCAAAGAAAACUUAUCUCUCCCAAACUGUCAGUCCGUCCUUGUACAACGAAGUAAAAGACAACAUUCUGAAGGAGAUAAAAAGACAUCUCCUUUUACUCUGCCAUUACAGAUAUGUGGUCAAACUCAAAUAUGACCCCAUAUAUGAGCGUGACCAUACACUACUUAACUGCUGAUUGGAUUCUGCAGUCAAAGUGUUUAGAGACCAGAUACAAACCACAGAACCAUACUGCUGAUGUACUUGCUGAAGCCCUUUGGUCUGCUUUAACGGACUGGGAAUUGGAUGAGCGCAAAAUGGCCCGUAUAACUACAGACAAUGGUGCGAACAUAGUGGCUGCAAUACGCAAUCUCGGCUGGCCAUGGCUCAAUUGCUUUGGCCACAACCUCCAUUUGGCUGUUUCCCAUGGACUGGACGGUUAAAAAGGAUCGCACAGCACUUUCCAUGGGACUUUGUAGGAAUCUUGUCAAUACCUUCAACCUGAGCUGGCUAAAGAAUGGAGACUUGAAGGCACAGACUGAAACCAAAUGUACCCCAACACAACCUAGUACUGGAUGUCACCACACGAUGGGGCACCAAGCAAAAAAAAAUAAAUGCUCGAGAGGGUGCUGGAGCAACUAUACCCAGCCAUAAGAUGUGUCCUGGUUGAAGAUCGAAAAACAUGGCCACCUUAAUGCAACCUGGCAGGAUGUUUCUGUGCUGGAAUCCAUUACUGCAGCAAUGAAGCUAGUGGCUGAUUUCACAUGAGAUGUCCUCUCAGGGGAAAAAUGUGUCACUGUGUCCUCAGUAAAGCCCGUGUUUGCACUUUUAUCACCAUACCACAAUGACACAGCACUGACGGCAAACAUAAAGGCGAACAUGUGCGGACAGAGAAAUACAGCCCAUCUGAAAUCCGAAACCUUCUGACAAAGGCCACCAUCUUCGAUCCAAGGCAUCGUGGCACCUUGGAGGAUGCGGGGGUCUUGGAUGAUGUCAAAGAAAAGCUCUUGCAAGAACUACUAGACAUGAACGAGGAAGAAGAAAAAGGAGAAGGUGCAAGUGAGAGCUGCGUUAAAGCUGCAGGAGGAAAUGAAGUAUCUGAAUCUGAAACUCCAUCAACCAAGAAGAAGAGGCUCUGCGACUUUCUCCAGAACAGAAGAACCCAACUUGCAAGUCUCCAGACUCGGGCAUCGGUAACACAACGAGUGCAGGCUGAUGCGGAGCUGACCAAGUUCCUCCGGAACGGAGAACUUGAUACAUCAUCUGAUCCCUUGAUGCGGUAGCGUGAUAACCAUAGAAGAUGAUUUCCUCUAGUAGCCAAGUUAGCACAAAAAUAAGGGUGUAUUUGUGCAACAAAGAAUGUUUAGCACAACUGGUUGUUACCCCAGAAAGAUCCUGCCUUAAGCCCCACAAGGUAAAAGUGUUGGUGUACAUUUCUCGGAAUCUUCCUAACAAUUAAAAAUAGAUCUGGCAGCAGAUAUGGCCUGUUGAGGCAUCUCUGCAGGACACUUUAAAAGUCUAAACUGACUUUGUUUAACAUGUUACUUUGUUCUUGUUACCUUGCACUUUGUUUUUUUUUUUUUAACCUUGCAUUUAUUAUUUAUUUACAUUUUAUUUACUUAGGAUUUUUUUUUUUGACAUCCCGAUUCCAAUGUCUAAAUAUUCUUAAGAAUCAAACGUUCUUUGUUCUUUGUUCUUUGAAAGAGUGCACUUGCAUUAUUAUGCUAUUAUAUAAUCCGUGGCAUAAAAUGGUCUUAAAAAUGA